ACGAACGCUGGCGGCGUGCUUAACACAUGCAAGUCGAACGGUGAAGCGCCUUCCUUUUUGGUGGGUGUGGAUGAGUGGCGAACGGGUGAGUCACACGUGAGUAACCUGCCCCCUUCUUCUGGAUAACCGCAUGAAAGUGUGGCUAAUACGGGAUAUUCUGGGUCUGUCGCAUGAUGGGUCUGGGAAAGAUAUUGUUUCGGUGGGGGAUGGGCUCGCGGCCUAUCAGCUUGUUGGUGGGGUGAUGGCCUACCAAGGCGGUGACGGGUAGCCGGCCUGAGAGGGUGGACGGUCACACUGGGACUGAGACACGGCCCAGACUCCUACGGGAGGCAGCAGUGGGGAAUAUUGCACAAUGGGCGCAAGCCUGAUGCAGCGACGCCGCGUGAGGGAUGGAGGCCUUCGGGUUGUGAACCUCUUUCGCCAGUGAAGCAGGCCUGCCUCGUUUGUGGGUGGGUUGACGGUAGCUGGAUAAGAAGCGCCGGCUAACUACGUG
rnacentral:rRNA from 1 species